rnacentral:rRNA from 1 species
GAAUAUCGCGCAAUGGGGGCAACCCUGUACGCAGCGACKCCGCGUGAGUGAGGAAGGCUUCGGGUCGUAAAGCUCUGUCAAGAGGAAAGAAGUGCAUGGUGGCUAAUAUCUGCCGUGUUUGACGGUACCUCUAAAGGAAGCACCGGCUAACUCCGUG